ACAAGUGUUCAGAACAUCAUAGCAGCUGUUAAUAGUGUCAGAGUCCAAACGCACAGAGCAAAUACAAACACCUGUGUGCUGUGUGGAAGGUCAGAUCUGCUCGUCUUCCUUCAUUUGGACCCAGCCCCCGGCUCCACUCGGCUAGGACUAGG